CAUACUGGGCAGUAUGUAGUUGCUUACUUUUACUUCUAAUAGCGGUAAAUGUCCCCUAAACAAAGAUAAUGUUGAUGUAUAAAUUCAUCUCUUCCCAGAGAUUUUCUUUGCACAGGGUCUCUAAACAGCUUAUUUCACCUUUGUUUCUAGAGUAGAAAAAUCCCCUGCCGAGUUCAUAACAUGUCACUCAAAUUGCACUUCUUGAUUAAGCUUCAUGAUUAUUGUCUGUCUGGUUUUGUCUAGUCUGCCAUGCAUAACUCUGAGUGCUUAUUAUGUUUAUUCUUCCUGCUCUCAGUGGUUAUUUGCGGUGUUUUAGGAAAGAACAGGAUGUUUUGUUCCUGCUUCCUAACUGUCCAGGUCACACAGUCUCACUCAUUAUGGGUCUCUGAUUGGGGUUGAUUACAGAAACAUGUCAGAUUUGAUUGCUUCUGUCUGGGAAAUGUACGAUGAGAGACGUGUUCAGGAGUAGUCGAGAACAUAUCAUAACCUUUAGCUUCCUCGUGUCUUUUUUUUUUUAACCAAACUGUGGAAGCAUUACUGAUAACAGAGCAGAUUUUUUUUGAUGUUGUUGUUUUUUUUUACUUUUUUAAUGUGUAAAUACAAAGUUGUUCAAGUGCAGCCAUUGUUAGACGUGUAAAACUAUUCAUUCCACUCAGCACAGCGCGUUCACUGAGUACCUGCUUCAGCUAAAGAACGGGUAUCCACAUAUGCACAUACUUUGGCAAGUUCUUGCAAAUGUUACGUUUACACAUUUCAUCUUACACUUUGAUAGAUAUCUAUGCAUGUGUAUAGGCAUGCAUUAUAAGUGAAGGUAUAAGCGGCGCCCUGCAGCAAAUGCUUUUAACCUUGGCUAAUAUCUGUCUGCAGCAGCUUAUUGGCAGUAAAAUGUGUUAGCAUUUUACCUUAAUACUGUGAAAUAGAAGACUUUACAUAAUGUAAAAUGACAGGGACAUAUUUUUGAUCAGUAAACAAUCAGCCUCUUACUCAGUAAAAUAAACAAGUCCCAACAGCUGGGUUACACCUCACAGGACUGUUGCUAAUAAUCCAAAAAUUAUUAGAUGUCAGCUUACAAACUUGUGCGUGACAGCUCACCUGUAGAAAAGUACACAAUGUCAUCU
ensembl:lncRNA